CAGUUUGAUAGAAUUACAAGGCUCCCAAGCUUAUUUGGUGCCUGUGUAUUUAAAAGUGAGUAUUCACAUUAUCCACACAUCAGCAACAACUCUGAGCGAUGAGCCUUGUUGUGCAGGCAGUAGGCACUGUUCGGAUGCUGAGGUUGCAUGGUCGCCUGUGUGGAGGUGAUGUUGUUUCUGUGGGCAUUUGGCCUUCUGCUUUAUGAAGGAGGCAGUCAGUGCUGUGACAGGUAUUGAGCCACUGUAGAACCUUGGGGAAUCUCUUAGCAGCUUGUCUGUGGUCCUCAACACAAAGUUUCCAUGCCACCUUCAGAGUACUUUGUAUGGCUUGAUUUUAAAACAUGUUCCCAUUGUUUAUACUCUGUUCACUCAAACUCCACAUGCACAAUUGCCUUUUCUGUUUCAUUCUGUCUUUUCUCCCCAGAUCACUUUGGCUUAAUCUACCCCUGGCAUACCCACGCUGGACGUCAAGCCCAGGGCCUUGUGCAUUUCAUGCACUCCAACUGAACUGCAACUCCAUCCUCUGCUGUCCUGGAAACCUCAUGUCCAAAUUGUUUUUCUGGAUCCCACUGAACUUCCCGCCUUUGUGUUCUCUUGCACUCACUCCUUGAAGUUGUUGGGUCUCCCUACAGUUGAUUUGGAUUUCCCCUCUGUGAUGGUUUGAAUAGGAAUGGCCCCCAUAAACUCAUUUGUCUGAAUGCUUGGCCCAGAGGGAGUGGCACUAUUAGGAGGUGUGGCCUUAUUGGAGGAAGUGUGUCACUGUGGGGAUGGACUUUGAGGUCUCAUAUGCUCAAGUUAUGCCUAGUGUGGGCUCCAGUCUUCACUUCUGCCUACAGACCAAGAUGUAGAACUCUCAGCUCCUUCUCCAGCACCAUGUACUGCUGACAUGACAAUAAUGGACUACACCUCUGAAACUGUACUUUUCAGAUGGUUGCAGCCCACCCAAGAAAUUGCUGUAGUGAAACCGCAAGAAGUCGAUUUCCAGGUAGGAGGGGCCAUGGUUACCUCUGGAGCUUUACCUACAAGUUGUUCCAUUUGAUCUUUGGCUGUUGUAUUUGCCUGUGUGUCCAUAUUUGAUGAAGUGAGUGAUUGGCAGUAACAGUUGAUCCCAAGGGAUUUCGUCUGUUCUUUUUUCUCAUUCCUUAGAGUACUCUUGGAUAGAAACGGGAAGAGCUGGUGGCUAGAUUUCCAGUGCUAUUGAACUCCUAAUUUGUAUGAUUGUUGUUAUUACAUUUGCUUCUGAAUGUUAUGGAUUUGGUUAGUUCCAACCCCUUAUUGAGAAAUUUUAUGGUGACAGUCAUAUCCAUAGUGGCCUUGACUCUGCUAAGGGAGAUUCCUAUGGAUGUUGAUUGAUACUAAGGCAGAUGGUUUUUGCAACUCACACAGUUUGUAAGCUACUGAGGUAGAAUUUGAACUCACAUGUUUGCCUUUAGAGAAUGCACAAACUACUACUUUGUUCAAUUGUUUUUUUUUUUCUUGUUGCCCCUCCCAUUGUUAAUUAUGCCAUUUCUCUUGUGUGAAACAUUGGAUGCCAUCCCAGUUUUAUUCUAAAGUUAACUUGUGGUUGUCGUGAGUCCUUUCUGUCUGUAGCAUUACCUGUUGGCUCAACAUCUUAGCUACUGUGGUCAAAACUCCUUCAUUGACUGCUGUGUUGAUGGUACUUCGGAAUCGUGUUUCUUUUCUCUUUUUACUGCUUGGGGGGGAAGAGGAAAUGAUUGUAUUUUACAUGUGGUAUCAUUUUCUAAGUGGCAGUUAAGUCAGAAAGCUUCCUGCAGCCCACCGAGACAGUUGAGUUACUUCUGCUGAUGUGUGAAAAGGCAGCUCCAGCAUUGUGUGGUCUCAUAGCCAGAGACUCUGGGACACAGGAAGUGUGAGGACUAGAAACACACUGAGAUAUUCACCAUGAACUACUUGCACUGGGUGUGACACAGUGGAGGACAGGGCAUCGGUUUAGAGGCAUAGUGCUUGCCCUAGUGUAUGUGUGGCUCUGAGUGGGACGUCCCUCACUUUACUGUUGUAAGUCGUUGAUAUCUAUAUAUUUAAAAUAUAAUUCUGUCAGUUGCAUGUCCUAAAUACUAGAGUGGACAGCCAGCCAUGUAUUAUAUUCUGGUCUGCCAGCACUGUUGAGGUAGGGUGGUAUGUAUUAUGAAUCCAACUCAAUAGCAUGUCUAGACAGAACCAAAUGUGUAAUUAUGUAAAAUCAGAGUUAAGGAAUUCUGGCUGAACAACUUUAAUAAUUAUUGGCAACUUUGACUUUUUCUAUUACUUUGUAUCCCUACAGUGUAGCCUAUUAUUGUAGAAGAGUUAUUUUUAGACAAGACAGAAUGUCUGAGAUGUGUUAUGACUCCAGUUUUUAAAGUAAAAUGUAUCUUCUAUCCAGACAACCUUAGGUUUCUUGGUUUGGAGAACUGAGUAAAUUUGAGUAAGAAAGGUUGCUAUCAGCGUUAGGAUUGAGCAGAGGCUCUUUUGACAUCAGAACUGCCAUCCUCAGCGAGUUUGUUCUCAGAGGAGACUGAUGGCUCUCUUUGCAGACAGCUUAGACGGUGCCAGCCUCCAUCUAGGCUUCAUCUCCUGCCUUCUCAUGUAGUCUAGGCUGUCUGCUCUCACCCUCUGGCUCCCAGUUUAGUUCUGCACACUAGAGAGUGGCCAGCAUCUCUUCUGUCCCCCCCGUCCCCCUCACACAGGGUUUUGGAAGCCAGCAGAGGAAGCAAAGGGCAUUGCAUGACUGAAAAUAUGGGUUUCUUAAGUGUCAUGGAUACACAGUCUCUUCUCUUGAGACUGAGGAUUUAUGCCCGUCUCUUCCAGUGGUUCCUUGUAUGUCUGUGUGGGUGUGUGGUUAUCUGUUUCUUUAAUACUGUCAUUUGGUGACACUGUUUUUAAUAGGAUAUCUUUUUCAUUCAUGGCUACUAAUUUUGUGUCUUAGGAAGCCUGUUCCCUUAUCCUAAAUAUAUUCUGUUUUCUUCUGAUAACCUCUUGACCUGCAGACAUCGUGCAGUGUUUCAUUCUGGUAACUUCAUGGGUUGGGCUUUAUUGUUGACACUCAGUCCAGUAAGAGGUGUUUGCAUGGCAUUUUGUAAGUGAGGACCUGAAGCACUCUGGAAAUUUGGCCCCUUUCUGAUUAUCAGGUUAAAGAUAUGUUAGGACACAAUCUGUAUCUAGUGCUUUGGUUAAAACCUUUUUUUGGGUGGCGGCAGGGGAAGGCUCCCCUGACCAAAACAGCAUUGCUGUUGGAAACUGAGUGACCUUUUGAUAACAGGGCUCUCUGUUCUAAUGAAACUAGUGGUAGGAAGUGCAUAUGUGCCAUCCGGUAGAGGGAUGCCUUAUUUAUGUACUCUUGUUCUGCUUAGCUGACCUGGAGGAGCUGAGAAACUUAAUCCUAUUUUAGGAAGUUGAAGUGGAACUGGCCAAUGUGUUGCACACCUGUAACCCCAGCAUCUGGUUUGGAGGACUGUACAAUAGCACCUUUGCUGGGGUGGCGGUGGUUGUUGAAUUUGAAGAAUCAAAUUGAUGACAUUAUUUGGCCUGGUC
rnacentral:lncRNA from 1 species